UUUUGAUAAUUAUAUCAUAGGAAACCCCAUGGAUGCUGGGAAGAACAGGAGUUGACAGACAAGCCUUUACAAGCUUAACUGAGAAGCAGAAAGAAGAGGAAUGCAUUAAUCAGCACUGUCUCCUGAUGUGGUGAGAGCUGCAGGAUGUGAUGCCAAGUGCUGGCUGCUGCCUGUCCUGGAGCUGGAGUGGCCAUGGGGAGAUGCUGGGAUGGUGCUGACUUUAAUCCAGAAAGCAGUGACAAAGGGGGAAAAGUAUAAAAUUUUGUCUUCUGAGAGUAUGUGUGUUAGACAAAACCCUUGAGAUGGAGAGAAUCUGAUCUGAGAAGGGAUUUCUGUUGGUUGGUGGCUUGUUUGGUGUUAUUUCCUUUAACCUAAGUGUAGCUAGAUUUAUGAUGCUGUCAGGCCCUCGGUCUCUUCUCCUUAGUGCUUUAUCCCUGGCAAGUGGUGAUGGAUACUUCUUCCCUCCUGCAUUACCCACAUCACAUUUGAGAGUCUUUUAUGCAGAGGGAAGACUAUAGGGCAAAAAAAGUGGGAAAACGUUGUAAGUGGUGCAAAAGUUAUAUUUGUCUGAGGGAAAAUGAAUAAUAAAUAAUAAUAAAUAAGAUCUCACAGAGGCUGGGCAAUAGUAGAGUCUCAGGUGUUGGAGAAAACUCUCUCCUGAGAAUUUCUCUCCUGAUAAUUCUGCAGGUGAUUCUCUCUUUGUAAAGCAUGUAAAUUUGGACUUCUGUAGUGAGAAGAAAGGGAUGGAAAGAGGAAAUUGUAACUUCUGAUGUUAGAGAUUGUAUAAUCAAAGUGAUCACUAUGUAAGCCUUGCUUUGCAGGUUAUUACUGAAUAUUAUUCUGUUGGAAGUCAAAGAGAAGGUGCCUGUAUUAGCAAAAAGAGCCCUGAUCAGAUGGAGAAAAAUAAGAUAGAAAGACAGAGAGUAGCUAUACUGAAAUAUAUAAUCCCACAAGUAGAAAAGCAUGUUUCACAUUUGCCUGCCUGUCAGUCACGUAGCAGUUUAGCUGCUCUGUGGGCCUGGGGGAUCAUGAGUUAAAGGCUGGCCUCAGCCUGCCAAUCUGGCCUCUAUCUUGUUAGGACAGACAAAAGCUGCACUUACUGAUCCAAUUCAGCAGUUGAUUCCAGGAAUGCUAUACAGGGAUUCAUGUAUAUGGAGCUUUAUAGCAGCUUUCUGUAUUCCAGACCUCUUAAACCGUAUUUUGGUGUCGUUCAGAUUUCCCAGUUUGAGAGAAAGGCUGCAAAUCUGUCAUCAAAGAGCUCCAUGUUUCACUAGUCCUUCUGAAAGGAGGAGGGAGAUUUGAGUUGAAGGUUUACAAGUGAGAAAUUGGGGCUUGGAUUGCUUCUGCAGCUCCUUUACAUGGUGUUAAUUUUCAUUAAGAGAUUAAUUAUCAUCAUCUGACUCCGUACCCUAUUUGUAACUUUGGAUUAUUCAUUCUGGAUGCAUGUGAAUUUUUUGGUGAAAUUUUAAUUCGUUCUGGAAAAGAAUGAAGGCAGAUUUGAAAAUGAAUUCCCUGGAAAAAAUGUAUAGAUUUUUACAGCUGCCAUAUUUUAAAGCAUUCACCUGGAUAUGGAACAAAAGCAAAAAAAGCAUUUAACAUCUCUCCACAA